UGCUGCUGCUGCUGCUGCUGCUGCUGCUGCUGCUGCUGCUGCUGACAUCCCCAUCGCAGAUAAUGAAGUCAGGUGUGUGUGUGCGUGUGUGUGUGUGUGUGUGUGUGGAGAGGAGUGAGAGCAGAGCGUGUGAAUGAUCUGUGUCAUAUCACUCCACAUACUGUGUGUAAUGUAUACUGUGCAGUGAAACAGUGUGACUCUCAUGGGUCACUCUCAUGUGUGUGUGUGUGCGUGUGUGUGUGUGUACGUGCGUGCGUGCUUGUUGGUCCUAAAUAUUCCGUGUCGUACUCCAUACCUCUUUUCAUCUCUCACCCUCUCUCUCUCUAUAAAGUUUCAAUUCUCUCUGCAGAAACAAUGAAACAGGCGCGCACGCAGGCACACACACACACACACACGCACACACACACACACACACACACACACGCACACACGCACACACACACACACACACACACAAACACACACACACACACACACACACAAACACACACACACUUGCGCACUUUCAUUUCCCUUUUCAUUCCCCAGCCCUUAAUCACCAUAAUCUUUACAAUCACAACUGAUUCUAACCUGGACCCGGAAACCACGUCUGAACCCCAGAGUGGCCAUUCGAAGAUGUUUCAGAAAGUGAGGACGAACCAAAAUGUCGUCACUCCAUAAGGAAUAUCACGCAAACUGGUCCCCACAAAGAUGGAAGCACGUGUACUUUCUGUCUCUCUCUCUCAUUCUCAAACACACACGGUCGCGUCUCCGUGACUUUAUAGGACAGCACAUUGACUUACUUAUAUUUCCUGGAGACGUACUUAUCACCUCGAGACAACCUUGGAAAGUCUGCGCGGAGAAAAAAAACCCUUAAAAGAUCCCAAAUCCUGAUAUAAACAUUUUGCCGGACUCACACAAGUUGACAAAAGUUGCAAACACGCACACAUGCGCACCCGGAGACAGCACAGCCUUGGAAAGCUUUGGACACGCAGACGCGCUGAGGACUGCAGGGGUAAAUAUUAACAAGUAGAGCACUGAAUCGAUGGCCAAAUGAAUUCAUGUCAGUUACCUUGGCAACCAACGCCUAUGAAAUGCGAUACAAAGGAAGCAGCGGGCUGAGCGAGGAGACGGAAAGAGGAAGGGACUGAAGAAGAAACGCCAAACAUAAAGAGGAGAGCACAGGAGUGCAACGCAAACAAGACCGAAGUAUCCUCUCAACACCCUGUUGGUGUGGCAAGAGACGGAAACGUGAUGUUGGAAAAUCGGCGGUUCGGAUCCCAGACCUGCUUGGAAAACCGGGACGGGGAACGUGAAUGAUCAAGGUCCUCAGCUAACACCAGUGGGUUACGUCCUUAACUGUUGACGCCUUACACUCAUCUGCUCAUCCUCGCUUACCCGAGAAAAACAAGGACUCCAGAGAUAUUGAACUGCGGAUGCUCGAUUUUUCAGAAAUCCACUCCAACCUGACAGACCCUGAUGAUAACCAAGCUGCCUGGAAUAAAAAUGACCUGGACUGGACCCAGACCAUCAUCAACACCACAAUCAUCAUGUGUUGAUUUGUUUGACAUGAAAUGUAAUAAGGGCGUCGGUGAGCCCGCUCGGCUGCGCCGGCGCCCCGUGCACGGAGGCAAGAGUCCUGCAGUGGCCGCCAGGUCGGACCCCGGCCUCUUACUGCAUGUCCUCCCCCCCUUCACACUAACAUGCUGUCCUGUCAAUAAAGGCUCAAGCCUGCCCCCCCAAAAAAUUGAACUGAAAUGCAGCAGCACAAAUGCGUCUCUAGAAUGUGAAUGUUUGAAGUUGCCCUUUCUCUGUCCAUGUCAUAUUCCUAUAUUUCCUUGUUAAACAUUUUACAUGUUGUUGUAUGAUCGUAUAUCAUUUCUUAUAAAACACGAUUUGGAUUUUGAUGUACUUUUUAAAUUUUUUUUUACCAGUGCAACAAUGUUGAAAAACUGAAGUUAACCCCAGCCCGUCUUUAUGAUAGUGAGUCACUGUGUGUCCCGUCUGCCCUGAAGAAAUGGCGCUCGUGUAUUAAAGGGCGUAUUAAACAGCACAACCAUAUUGUAAAUGCAAAAAGACAGCUGAAGCUCUUGGCAAGUGACAAUCACCACCACCCACUCCACUUACAAAUCAUUAUCUUUUUUUCCAAGAUUUAUUUUGAUAGUAAUUCAUUAAAGGAGAGACCAGAAAUGAAGAGAGAGUAGGGGUCUGUCACACAGUAAAUAUGCUGGUACCCUGGGAGUUGAACCGUGGUACCUGCUGCUGAAAACACAGCGCACUUGUUGUAUUUAACCUAAUAGUUCUGCCAGUGGAAAAAACAUGUGUUUUUUGCUUUAUUUUUCACUUUGCACAUUGAUUCUGCUAUUUCCCCACAUUUCCUCUCACCUGGCUCUAUUUUAUUCAGUACAUUGUACACUGUCGUGCUGAAAUUGUCGCAUGCGUUAUAUGUCCGAUGCUUCAACAUUUGCCAUAUUUUCCUUUCGUCUGCUGCGGUAACCCAGUCGGCCUACCAGGAUCGUCACGGUAAAAUCUGUUCAAAUCACAGGAAGACAACACUAACAGUCGCACUAAAGACAUCCCGUGCCUCUUGCACAUUCAAUCUUUUAAUUGGACAAAGAUUUGGAGACAAUGUUUGAAUGUUUUUCACAUGACUAUGAAAACAUAUUGAGUGGUACUGUGUUUUUUCCAUCUCAACAUGUCAUAUAUGGGGCAAAUUAGAAGCCGCCCUUCUAUGAAAGAUUAACUCAGUUGUUCUCAAUCAACCCUUAACAGUCUCCCAACAACCUGAUCUGCGUAAAAGACGGCCAGCUAAUAUGCGAAGUUGCUGAUGACCAGCUAUUUGGAAAACCCUACAAUCAACUCAUCACCUGUGGGGAAUACAGAGAUUUCCUCUUCUCCUCACAAGUUUAGAGAACAUUAUUUUUGUUAAGCUCUCUGGCAGUGGUCACGUCAGCUGUAAAACUCCUUUACCAGCUAAAAAUACAUUCUGAACGUCAGUGGCAUGUCAUCAGGGCAAGCGAGGUCAAGUGCUUGACCUUUAAAAGCAAAAGAAUUAAUAUCAUUUGGAAUUGGAAACAAUAAAUCGACUUAAAUCUGACCAGAACAGCGCUCUGUCCCAUAAAGGAUAUGAUAUUACCUCUUUGAAAUCCUUAAUUUACUGUCCACUUGUGGUGACUAUGUGUCUGGAAGCUAUGUUGACUAUCAGCCGAUGCUACUCAACGUUUUUGUGGGUGUGACAUUCCCCGCUCUGAGAUCAUGUAUCUUGCACACAAUACUAUACUCAUGCUCAGUUGCGAGUGAAAACUGUGCUUUUCACAUUGCAAAAAUUGCACCCAAGUGUUUUCUUCCUAGGCGUUAAGAGGUAACAGUAGCAAAUGAAAAAGGUGAUUGUGAUCUGUGCAAGAUCUGCGGUACGUUUGAGAGGUUCGAGACGUUGUUACAGUUGUGCAGCUCCUCUGAGGGAGCGUUCAGAGAAUUACAAGUUUGCAGAAUAGCUGUGAAUUGGCAGAGCAGCGUAUGUGCAGCUCAGGCUGUUUGUCAUUUAAAAUAAUGCCGCGACCACUCGGGACCCGAGACAAGACCCCGAACUCUCACUGCUUUCAUUUGCCCCUGGCAGCAGAACUACUCUGGUCUCACACAUUCCGGUCCUCCAUCAACAACUGCUGUCAAAUAUAACUAUGAGAACAGGAUGAACUCACUACUAUAACGGAUAAAAGGACUAAUCUUGCACUAUAUUGUGGUGUGCUGGUCUACCUCACAAUCAUAAAACAACGUAGUCGCAUGUGUCUAGAUUUAAUUACAUCACUGCAAUGUUUUAUAUCUAUGGCAUAUGCAAUACCCCAGCCUCUUUAAUUCUGUUCUGCUUUGUAAUUAUCUUAUUAAUCGUUUCUUCUCAGCUAAUAAAGGUGUAGGGUUUUUCUGUGUAAGGUUCAAGUUUCUCUAUUAUCAUUCCAAACAUGUACAUGCAAAGAGUGACAUUUUCGAGACUCAG